rnacentral:lncRNA from 1 species
GGGAGGGAUUGAACCAGAGAAGGAAUUGGAUCGGAGAGUUAAGGUUUUGAGGUUGGAGAGGGAAGAGAGUGAAGAGGGGAUUGGGCCGGAGAAGGAGUUUUCAGCGAGGUCUAGUGUGACGAGUUGGGUGAGUUGAGAGAUGAGUGGGGUGAGUGAGCCAGAGUAGCCUGCAGGGUCGAGGGUGAUUUGGUUGAUGUUGUUGGUGGUGGUGGUGGCGGUGCAGGUGAGGCCGCAGAUGAAGUGGGUUCGGCGAGGGAGUGAGCAAGGGUCGAUGGUGAAGUUCCAUGAUGCUAGGCAUGACCAGGGUGCGAUUGAAGAGGGUUUGAUUGAGGCCUUGAAAGCCUUGAGUGCUGCAAUAUCUGAAGCUGAAGUGAGAGCUUGCA